UACGGAGGGUGCGAGCGUUGUCCGGAAUCACUGGGCGUAAAGAGCUCGUAGGCGGUCUGUCGCGUCGGCUGUGAAAACCUGGGGCUUAACUCCGGGCCUGCAGCCGAUACGGGCAGACUAGAGUUCGGCAGGGGAGACUGGAAUUCCUGGUGUAGCGGUGAAAUGCGCAGAUAUCAGGAGGAACACCGGUGGCGAAGGCGGGUCUCUGGGCCGAAACUGACGCUGAGGAGCGAAAGCGUGGGGAGCAAACAGG
rnacentral:rRNA from 1 species